UACAGAGGUCCCAAGCGUUGUUCGGAUUUACUGGGCGUAAAGGGUGCGUAGGUGGUCGGGUAAGUCUCAUGUGAAAUCUCCAAGCUCAACUUGGAAAUGGCAUGGGAUACUAUUCGGCUAGAGGAUUGGAGGGGGGACUGGAAUUCCCGGUGUAGCAGUGAAAUGCGUAGAGAUCUGGAGGAACACCGAUGGCGAAGGCAGCCUUCUGGGCCAACACUGACGCUCAUGCACGAAAGCGUGGGGAGCAAACAGG
rnacentral:rRNA from 1 species